AGGACGAACGCUGGCGGCGUGCCUAACACAUGCAAGUCGAACGAGAAAGUGGAGCAAUCCAUGAGUAAAGUGGCGCACGGGUGAGUAACACGUGACUAACCUACCCUUGAGUGGGGGAUAACUGAGGGAAACCUUAGCUAAUACCGCAUAAUACCCACGGGUCAAAGGAGCAAUUCGCUCGAGGAGGGGGUCGCGGCCGAUUAGUUAGUUGGCGGGGUAAUGGCCCACCAAGACGAUGAUCGGUA
rnacentral:rRNA from 1 species